GGCCAGGUCCCAUGCAGUGGACAUUUCAGGCAACGGGUCAGGCGGGAGACCGAGCAGCCCACUUGGCGUGCUCAGGUGCCGUGGAUCGCCUGGUCGUC
rnacentral:SRP_RNA from 1 species